rnacentral:rRNA from 1 species
UACGUAGGGUGCGAGCGUUAAUCGGAAUUACUGGGCGUAAAGCGUGCGCAGGCGGCUUUUUAAGCCAGAUGUGAAAUCCCCGGGCUUAACCUGGGAACUGCAUUUGGAACUGGAAGGCUAGAGUGUAGCAGAGGGGGGUAGAAUUCCACGUGUAGCAGUGAAAUGCGUAGAUAUGUGGAGGAAUACCGAUGGCGAAGGCAGCCCCCUGGGUUAACACUGACGCUCAUGCACGAAAGCGUGGGGAGCAAACAGGAUUAGAUACCCUGGUAGUCCACGCCCUAAACGAUGUCAACUAGGUGUUGGGGAAGGAGACUUCUUUAGUACCGCAGCUAACGCGUGAAGUUGACCGCCUGGGGAGUACGGUCGCAAGAUUAAA